rnacentral:rRNA from 1 species
ACAUCACCUCUAGCAUCACAAGUAUUAGAGGCAAUGCCUGCCCAGUGACUAAAGUUAAACGGCCGCGGUAUUCUGACCGUGCAAAGGUAGCAUAAUCACUUGUUCCUUAAUUAGGGACUAGAAUGAAUGGCUAAACGAGGGUUUAACUGUCUCUUAUUUCCCAUCAGUGAAACUGACCUUCCCGUGAAGAGGCGGGAAUAAUAAAAUUAGACGAGAAGACCCUAUGGAGCUUUAAUUUAUUAAUUUACUUUCAACAACUUGUAAUCUAAUGAAAUCAAAAACUGAAAACUAAAUUAAUGAUUUAGGUUGGGGCGACCUCGGAGAAUAAACUAACCCCCGAAAGAUUAUGAUUCAGGCCGACAAGCCAAAAUAAGUAUGCCUAUCACAAUCGACCCAUUAAUUAUGAUCGACGAACCAAGUUACCCUAGGGAUAACAGCGCAAUCCUAUUUAAGAGUUCCUAUCGAAAAUAGGGUUUACGACCUCGAUGUUGGAUCAGGAUAUCCCAAUGGUGCAGCAGCUAUUAAUGGUUCGUUUGUUCAACGAUUAAAG